UACGUAGGGGGCAAGCGUUGUCCGGAUUUAUUGGGCGUAAAGAGCGUGUAGGCGGUUUGGUAGGUCCGCUGUGAAAACUCGAGGCUCAACCUCGAGAUGUCGGCGGAAACCAUCUGGUUAGAGUCCGGAAGAGGAGAGUGGAAUUCCUGGUGUAGCGGUGAAAUGCGCAGAUAUCAGGAAGAACACCCGUGGCGAAGGCGGCUCUCUGGGGACGGUACUGACGCUGAGACGCGAAAGCGUGGGGAGCGAACAGG
rnacentral:rRNA from 1 species